AUUGAACGCUGGCGGCAGGCCUAACACAUGCAAGUCGAGCGAGCGGCGGACGGGUGAGUAAUGCCUGGGAAUUGCCCAGUCGAGGGGGAUAACAGUUGGAAACGACUGCUAAUACCGCAUACGAUUGGAUUGCCCAGGUGGGAUUAGCUAGUUGGUGAGGUAAUGGCUCACCAAGGCGACGUUCCCUAGCUGGUCUGAGAGGAUGAUGAGCCACACUGGAAACGCGAAACGGUCCCGACUCCUACGGGAGGCAGCAGUGGGGAAUAUUGCACAAUGGGGGGAAACCUGGUGCAGCCAUGCCGCGUGUGGGAAGAAGGCCUUCGGGUUGUAAAGCACUUUCAGCGAGGCGGCGUUACUCGCAGAAGAAGCACCGGCUAACUCCGUGCCAGCAGCCGCGGUAAUUC
rnacentral:rRNA from 1 species